rnacentral:rRNA from 1 species
UACAGAGGGUGCGAGCGUUGUUCGGAAUCACUGGGCGUAAAGCGCGCGCAGGCGGGCGUGUAAGUCAGAAGUGAAAUUCCGGGGCUCAACCCCGGAGCUGCUCCUGAUACUGCAGGUCUGGAGACCGGUAGAGGCUGGUGGAAUUCCCGGUGUAGCGGUGGAAUGCGUAGAGAUCGGGAAGAACACCCGUGGCGAAGGCGGCCAGCUGGGCCGUUACUGACGCUGAGACGCGAAAGCGUGGGGAGCAAACAGG